rnacentral:rRNA from 1 species
UGGGGUAGGGCGGCAGCUACACAUGCAGUCGGACGGUAGCACAGAGAGCUUGCUCUCGGGUGACGAGUGGCGGACGGGUGAGUAAUGUCUGGGAAACUGCCCGAUGGAGGGGGAUAACUACUGGAAACGGUAGCUAAUACCGCAUAACGUCGCAAGACCAAAGUGGGGGACCUUCGGGCCUCACACCAUCGGAUGUGCCCAGAUGGGAUUAGCUAGUAGGUGGGGUAAUGGCUCACCUAGGCGACGAUCCCUAGCUGGUCUGAGAGGAUGACCAGCCACACUGGAACUGAGACACGGUCCAGACUCCUACGGGAGGCAGCAGUGGGGAAUAUUGCACAAUGGGCGCAAGCCUGAUGCAGCCAUGCCGCGUGUAUGAAGAAGGCCUUCGGGUUGUAAAGUACUUUCAGCGGGGAGGAAGGCGGUGAGGUUAAUAACCUCACCGAUUGACGUUACCCGCAGAAGAAGCACCGGCUAACUCCGUGCCAGCAGCCGCGGUAAUACGGAGGGUGCAAGCGUUAAUCGGAAUUACUGGGCGUAAAGCGCACGCAGGCGGUCUGUCAAGUCGGAUGUGAAAUCCCCGGGCUUAACCUGGGAACUGCAUUCGAAACUGGCAGGCUAGAGUCUUGUAGAGGGGGGUAGAAUUCCAGGUGUAGCGGUGAAAUGCGUAGAGAUCUGGAGGAAUACCGGUGGCGAAGGCGGC